ACUCGAGUGGCGAACGGGUGAGUAACACGUGGGUGAUCUGCCCUGCACUUCGGGAUAAGCCUGGGAAACUGGGUCUAAUACCGGAUAGGAGCCAUUUUUAGUGUGAUGGUUGGAAAGUUUUUUCGGUGCAGGAUGAGCUCGCGGCCUAUCAGCUUGUUGGUGGGGUAAUGGCCUACCAAGGCGGCGACGGGUAACCGGCCUGAGAGGGUGGACGGCCACAUUGGGACUGAGAUACGGCCCAG
rnacentral:rRNA from 1 species